AGCCUGGGAAAAGUACGGGGGGCUGGGAAUAGAAAUGUUAAGGAAGAAGUGUGGACAGUAGCCUGCUUGAGCAAGCAAUGGCCCGAAGCUAUCAUCAGUUGGAUUGUGGCUGAACGCCUCCAAGUCAGAAUCUGUACUAGAACGCGACGAUUCCCGCCUUUUCGGAUGUCAAGUAGAAUACAAUAGAUCUUCGGAUCCUGAAUCAUACUACGUGGGGUCGUCAGGCAAGACGGAAAGGUUUUGUUUGGCGCCUGCUAAUGUUAAUUUUAAAUAUUGAAAGAGAUAAAUCCAUUGCAGAUGACAUUUAAGCAACGGUGUAUUGUAAGCAGUAGAGACACUCUGUUGCGUCGAUCUGCUGAGAUUAAGCCCAUUGUUCCAUAGAUUU
rnacentral:ncRNA from 1 species